CUCACCUAGACAUAUUAGUCUAACAUUUUAUGAAACCCUAAGUAAAUCUGACAAGUAGUUUUGGAGAAAUGCUGCGGACAAGUUCAUUUUUAAAGUGGCGGAAGAAGAAAAGGAAGAAGAGGAAGAAGAAGAAUAAUAAAAAUAAUAAGAACUGAGCAAAAACAAUAAGUCUCCAAACUUUGUUUGGGAGACUUAAUUAAAAAGGGGGAAGGAUAUUAAAAAUCGAAUAAGUAACGAAUAAGGAAUAGGGAAUAAGUAACGAAUAGGUAACGAAUAGGGAAUAGG
rnacentral:lncRNA from 1 species